rnacentral:rRNA from 1 species
GAUGAACGCUGGCGGCGUGCUUAAUACAUGCAAGUCGAACGAAGAGUCUUUGUAGCAAUACGAGGGCUUCUUAGUGGCGAACGGGUGCGUAACGCGUUGGUGACCUGCCCCGAAGUGUGGGAUAACAGUUCGAAAGGAUUGCUAAUACCGCAUGUGGUUUACCGGAUUAGAAGCCGGAUCUCUAAAGCAGUAAUGCGCUUCGGGAGGGACCUGCGUCCCAUCAGCUAGUUGGUGAGGUAACGGCCCACCAAGGCUACGACGGGUAGGGGACCCGAGAGGGUGGUCCCCCACACUGGCACUGAAACACGGGCCAGACACCUACGGGUGGCAGCAGUAGGGAAUAUUGGGCAAUGGGCGAAAGCCUGACCCAGCAACGCCGCGUGCAUGAUGAAGGUCUUCGGAUCGUAAAAUGCUUUUCUGAGAGAUGAGAAAGGACAGUAUCUCAGGAAUAAGUCUCGGCUAACUACGUGCCAGCCGCCGCAGUAAAAC